GGUUCCAUAUUUUUCUGGACAUGACAUAAUUUAUCGAGAUCUCAUCAUUUUCAAUGAUUUCAGGUACCUGAUUGUCUUUUGGAACUGUAAUAUUAGUCAUGUCUAGAGGUUUUUCUGUAGACUCUUCUGGAGUUCCCAUUUCCUCGUCAUGACCAUCUUGAAUCUUUGUUCCUUUUCUCAUACGAGGAUUCUUAUCUUUGGAACCGACUGGUCUACCACGCUUCAAGCGUGCUUUAGAUUCAUUGGCAACAAGAGGUUGUCCUGCUGGGACAUCAAUUUUAAUUGGAGCAUUAACAGCUGGUAUAUGUGACUUUGUUACACUCUUUGGGUCAGAA
rnacentral:lncRNA from 1 species